UACGUAGGGGGCGAGCGUUGUCCGGAUUUAUUGGGCGUAAAGAGCGUGUAGGCGGUUCGGUAAGUCUGUCGUGAAAUCCUGAGGCUCAACCUCGGGCGUGCGAUGGAUACUGCCGGGCUAGAGGGUGGUAGAGGCGAGUGGAAUUCCCGGUGUAGCGGUGAAAUGCGCAGAUAUCAGGAAGAACACCCGUGGCGAAGGCGGCUCUCUGGGACGGUACUGACGCUGAGACGCGAAAGCGUGGGGAGCGAACAGG
rnacentral:rRNA from 1 species